rnacentral:rRNA from 1 species
AACAGAGGGUGCAAACGUUGUUCGGAAUUACUGGGCGUAAAGCGCGUGUAGGCGGUUCGGAAAGUCGGGUGUGAAAGCCCUGGGCUCAACCUGGGAAUUGCAUUCGAGACUGCAUUGCUGGAGUACGGAAGAGGAAGGCGGAAUUCCCGGUGUAGCGGUGAAAUGCGUAGAUAUCGGGAGGAACAUCAGUGGCGAAGGCGGCCUUCUGGUCCAGUACUGACACUCAAGUGCGAAAGCGUGGGGAGCAAACAGG